rnacentral:misc_RNA from 1 species
AAGUCGUAACAAGGUUUCCGUAGGUGAACCUGCGGAAGGAUCAUUACCGAUGUUUAGUUAUAAAGCUGAAUUACUUUUUGUGCACCGUAUAUUUCUUGCUUUUCAACUUUGUCUGACGAAAACAUCGUUCCAAACGAGAACGUGAAUAAUAAUAAAAUACAACUUUUAACAAUGGAUCUCUUGGCUCUC